CGGUUUGUCGCGUCUGCUGUGAAAGUCCGAGGCUCAACCUCGGACCUGCAGUGGGUACGGGCAAACUAGAGUGCGGUAGGGGAGAUGGGAAUUCCUGGUGUAGCGGUGGAAUGCGCAGAUAUCAGGAGGAACACCGAUGGCGAAGGCACAUCUCUGGGCCGUAACUGACGCUGAGGAGCGAAAGCGUGGGGAGCGAACAGGAUUAGAUACCCUGGUAGUCCACGCCGUAAACGGUGGGUGCUAGUUGUGGGUUCCAUUCCACGGAAUCCGUGACGAAGUUAACACAUUAAGCACCCCGCCUGGGGAGUACGGUCGCAAGACUAAAACUCAAAGGAAUUGACGGGGGCCCGCACAAGCGGCGGAGCAUGCGGAUUAAUUCGAUGCAACGCGAAGAACCUUACCAAGGCUUGACAUAUACAGGAAAAGCGUAGAAAUACGCUCCCCGCAAGGUCUGUAUACAGGUGGUGCAUGGUUGUCGUCAGCUCGUGUCGUGAGAUGUUGGGUUAAGUCCCGCAACGAGCGCAACCCUCGUCCUAUGUUGCCAGCACGUAAUGGUGGGAACUCAUGGGAGACUGCCGGGGUCAACUCGGAGGAAGGUGGGGAUGACGUCAAAUCAUCAUGCCCCUUAUGUCUUGGGCUUCACGCAUGCUACAAUGGCCGGUACAAAGGGCUGCAAUACCGCAAGGUGGAGCGAAUCCCAUAAAGCCGGUCUCAGUUCGGAUUGGGGUCUGCAACUCGACCCCAUGAAGUCGGAGUCGCUAGUA
rnacentral:rRNA from 1 species